CCUACGGGAGGCUGCAGUGGGGGAUAUUGCACAAUGGGGGGAACCCUGAUGCAGCGACGCCGCGUGGGUGAAGGAGCGUUUCGGCGCGUAAAGCCCUAUCGGCAGGGAAGAAGAUGACGGUACCUGACCAAGAAGCCCCGGCUAACUACGUGCCAGCAGCCGCGGUAAUACGUAGGGGGCAAGCGUUAUCCGGAUUUACUGGGUGUAAAGGGGGCGCAGACGGCAAUGCAAGCCAGGAGUGAAAGCCCGGGGCCCAACCCCGGGACUGCUCUUGGAACUGUCAUGCUAGAGUGUCGGAGAGGCAGGUGGAAUUCCUAGUGUAGCGGUGAAAUGCGUAGAUAUUAGGAGGAACACCAGUGGCGAAGGCGGCCUGCUGGACGAUGACUGACGUUGAGGCUCGAAAGCGUGGGGAGCAAACAGGAUUAGAUACCCUAGUAGUC
rnacentral:rRNA from 1 species